GCUUCUACAUGCAAGUCGAGCGGAAAGGCCCUUCGGGGUACUCGAGCGGCGAACGGGUGAGUAACACGUGAGCAAUCUGCCUUCAGCUCCGGGAUAACACGUGGAAACAGGUGCUAAUACCGGAUAUGACCUCGAAGGACAUCCUUUGAGGUGGAAAGUUUUUCGGCUGAAGAUGAGCUCGCGGCCUAUCAGCUUGUUGGCGGGGUAACGGCCCACCAAGGCGACGACGGGUAGCCGGCCUGAGAGGGCGACCGGCCACACUGGGACUGAGACACGGCCCAGACUCCUACGGGAGGCAGCAGUAGGGAAUAUUGCGCAAUGGGCGAAAGCCUGACGCAGCAACGCCGCGUGGGGGAUGAAGGCCUUCGGGUCGUAAACCCCUUUCAGCAGGGACGAAGUGCAAAUGACGGUACCUGCAGAAGAAGCACCGGCUAACUACGUGCCAGCAGCCGCGGUAAUACGUAGGGUGCGAGCGUUGUCCGGAAUUAUUGGGCGUAAAGAGUUCGUAGGUGGUCCGUUGCGUCGGAAGUGAAAUCCCGGAGCUCAACUCCGGGACUGCUUUCGAUACGGGCGGACUAGAGGUAGGUAGGGGAGAGCGGAAUUCCUGGUGUAGCGGUGGAAUGCGCAGAUAUCAGGAGGAACACCGGUGGCGAAGGCGGCUCUCUGGACCUAUUCUGACACUGAGGAACGAAAGCGUGGGUAGCAAACAGGCUUAGAUACCCUGGUAGUCCACGCCGUAAACGUUGGGCGCUAGGUGUGGGGAACUUUCCACGUUCUCCGUGCCGCAGCUAACGCAUUAAGCGCCCCG
rnacentral:rRNA from 1 species